AUGCAUGCAAGUCGAGCGAAGCUUUUCAGUAGUUUACUACAGAAAAUGACUGAGCGGCGAACGGGUGAGUAACGCGUGAGCAAUCUACCUUAGUUACAGGGAUAGCCCGAGGAAACUCGGAUUAAUACCUGAUAUUCUUUAAAUUUCGCAUGAAAUUAAAAGGAAAGGUCAGCCGAACUAAGAUGAGCUCGCGUUCUAUCAGCUAGUUGGUGAGGUAAAAGCUCACCAAGGCAACGACGGAUAGCUGGUCUGAGAGGACGAUCAGCCACACUGGGACUGAGACACGGCCCAGACUCCUACGGGAGGCUGCAGCAGGGAAUAUUGCGCAAUGAGCGAAAGCUUGACGCAGCGACACCGCGUGUGGGAUGACGGAUCUAGGUUUGUAAACCACUUUCAGGAGGGAAGAAAAUGACGGUACCUCCACAAGAAGCCCCGGCCAACUACGUGCCAGCAGCCGCGGUAAUACGUAGGGGGCGAGCGUUGUCCGGAUUUAUUGGGCGUAAAGAGCUCGUAGGCGGUUCAACAAGUCGGUCGCAAAAGUUCAGGGCUCAACCCUGAAAUGUCGAUCGAUACUGUUGUGACUAGGAUACGGUAGAGGUGAGUGGAAUUCCGAGUGUAGCGGUGAAAUGCGUAGAUAUUCGGAGGAACACCAAUUGCGAAGGCAGCUCACUGGGCCGCUAUCGACGCUGAGGAGCGAAAGCUAGGGGAGCAAACAGGAUUAGAUACCCUGGUAGUCCUAGCUGUAAACGAUGGAUACUAGACGUAGGAACUGGAUUGACGGUUUCUGUGUCGUAGCUAACGCGUUAAGUAUCCCGCCUGGGGAGUACGGUCGCAAGACUAAAACUCAAGGAAUUGACGGGACCCCGCACAAGCGGCGGAGCAUGCGGCUUAAUUCGAUGAUACCCCGUAGAACCUUACCUGGACUUGACAUAUAGGGUCAAGCUAUAGAGAUAUAGUGUGCAUU
rnacentral:rRNA from 1 species